GUGUUGCCCGUCGUUGUUGGCGGUGGAGCUGUCGAAAAUGGUGCUGCUGUGCAAAAUGGCGUGAUUCCGGCUGUGUUGCCCGUCGUUGUUGGCGGUGGAGCCGUCGAAAAUGGUG